rnacentral:rRNA from 1 species
CAAUACGCCUGGGCGGCAGGCCUACCAUGCAAGUCGAACGGUAACAGGAUGUGCUUGCACAUCGCUGAUGAGAGGGGGACGGGUGAGUAAUGCUUGGGAACUUGCCUUUGCGAGGGGGAUAACAGUUGGAAACGACUGCUAAUACCGCAUAAUGUUUUCGAACCAAACGGGGCUUCGGCUCCGGCGCAAAGAGAGGCCCAAGUGAGAUUAGCUAGUUGGUAAGGUAACGGCUUACCAAGGCGACGAUCUCUAGCUGUUCUGAGAGGAAGAUCAGCCACACUGGGACUGAGACACGGCCCAGACUCCUACGGGAGGCAGCAGUGGGGAAUAUUGCACAAUGGGGGAAACCCUGAUGCAGCCAUGCCGCGUGUGUGAAGAAGGCCUUCGGGUCGUAAAGCACUUUCAGUUGUGAGGAAAAGUUAGUAGUUAAUACCUGCUAGCCGUGACGUUAACAACAGAAGAAGCACCGGCUAACUCCGUGCCAGCAGCCGCGGUAAUACGGAGGGUGCGAGCGUUAAUCGGAAUUACUGGGCGUAAAGCGCACGCAGGCGGUUUGUUAAGCUAGAUGUGAAAGCCCCGGGCUCAACCUGGGAUGGUCAUUUAGAACUGGCAGACUAGAGUCUUGGAGAGGGGAGUGGAAUUCCAGGUGUAGCGGUGAAAUGCGUAGAUAUCUGGAGGAACAUCAGUGGCGAAGGCGACUCCCUGGCCAAAGACUGACGCUCAUGUGCGAAAGUGUGGGUAGCGAACAGGAUUAGAUACCCUGGUAGUCCACACCGUAAACGCUGUCUUACUAGCUGUGUGUGCCUUUUAAGGCGUGCGUAGCGAAGCUAACGCGCUAAGUAAA